CCAGAUAAUAGUUUCAUUUGAAUGAUUCCCUGCAUUUUCUUUGUAACUUGUUCCUGCAUUCUUGUCCCUGUAGAUUCAGUACACAUACAUUUUACAUUGUAUUAAUUUAGCUGACACUUUUGAACAAAGCAACACACAGAUAAUGCCUAUAAUAAUGAUAACAGUAGAUAAUCAAAUAUCGUUUUACUUAACAAAUAUGAUUUGAGCAUAGAGUAUUCCCAGUCUAUCCCAUCAUCCACUAAUAAUAUCGAUGUGCCUUUUAUUCAUUUUUUCCAGAAACUCUCUAUUUUGUGCUCUCAGAAAUGUCAAAUUCCACUCCUAUAUGCACCUACCCAUCAUUUGAGGAAAUGCUUGCUGUCAAUUGUGAGAUACAUACAGUGAAUAAUUUGACAUAUGGAUGUACAAUUUCGUAUCGAUUUGACAUUAAUAAAAUACACACAAGUUGUGUCUCCAGAGUCACCAUGCACGUAGAGAAGGAAAGAACAUUUUUACACUUCAUACAUCCAACAGCAUCUGAUGAAGGGAACUACAAAUGUCAGUGUGUCUUUCAUGGAGGAACAAAUUUCACAAAUAUCAGUGUUUCUUACAAAGAAUCUCAUGCGUCUAUGACUGAAGAAGGCCCCUACUACCCUAAUGUGACGGUGAUGAUGGGAGGUUUGGCAGUGACCAUGGUUGCUGUUGUACUUGUUGGAGUAACUCUGAAGAAAAUACAUCUCUGGAAACUUCACCAGCAAAACUGUGUCCCUUCCAAAGAGUUUCACGUAAAACAUGAUGUCUUUAUGAACUCAAAUGAAUUCACAGCACUUCAGUAUAGGAAGGUGCAGGAUAUUGAGCCAACGAGCCGUACAACACAUUCAUAUUGAGAACCAAUGGGCUGUACUCAACUGCCCAGCUGGUCAUCCAGUUGAACUCCCUGUGCUGAUGAUGACGACUGACUUAUACUAUACACACUGGUCACAACUCUUUUUGACUCUUACCAUAGUCUGCUUCCCAACCACUUUCCAGUAACAUUACUUCUUUGGCUCUCUUCCAACUUCAUUACUUAUCAAUAUUGGUUUCCGCCCCACUCCCCCCCCCCCCCCACCCACUCAAUAAUCAAUAUUUCUGAUAAUCACAGAAUCAUGUUGCACCUAAAUUGUUUACUGUGACAUGUGUAAUUAACAAAUACAAUGUUGUCUCAUUUAUUAUUAAUAAAAGUGAC